rnacentral:rRNA from 1 species
AACCUGCGGAAGGAUCAUUACCGAGUGCUGGGUCCUUCGGGGCCCAACCUCCCACCCGUGCUUACCGUACCCCUGUUGCUUCGGCGGGCCCGCCCGCCGGAGACCACACGAACACUGCCUGAAAGCGUGCAGUCUGAGUUGAUUGAUACCAAUCAGUUAAAACUUUCAACAAUGGAUCUCUUGGUUCCGGCAUCGAUGAAGAACGCAGCGAAAUGCGAUAACUAAUGUGAAUUGCAGAAUUCAGUGAAUCAUCGAGUCUUUGAACGCACAUUGCGCCCCCUGGUAUUCCGGGGGGCAUGCCUGUCCGAGCGUCAUUACUGCCCUCAAGCCCGGCUUGUGAGUUGGGCCGCGUCCCCCCGGGGACGGGCCCGAAAGGCAGCGGCGGCGCCGUCCGGUCCUCGAGCGUAUGGGGCUCUGUCACCCGCUCUACAGGUCUGGUCGGCGCUGGCCACCACCCCCAAUCUUCUCCAGAUUGACCUCGGAUCAGGUAGGGAUACCCGCUGAACUUAAGCAUAUCAAUAAG